rfam:Lupinus angustifolius cultivar Tanjil chromosome LG02, whole genome shotgun sequence.
AGGUGCAAUCAUACCAGCGCUAAUGCACCGGAUCCCAUCAGUUAAGCGUGCUUGGGCGAGAGUAGUACUAGGAUGGGUGACCUCAUGGGAAGUCCACGUGUUGCACCUC